AAUUCUUAAAAGUAUUACAUUUAAGGCCAAAAUUAGCUUAAAAACCCCCCAAAAAAUUAAGAACACCAAAUUUAAAACUCAAUUAUGAAGCUAGUCCUGCCUGUCAGAAAAGCAGAGUCUUAAGAGCACAGCGGAAAACUCGAAGGUCAGAGAUCUUGCGUUUGAGAGUAAGCCCCACUCCCAAGAGUAGGACAACCAAUUACUGUGGGUUACAAUCCUCAAUAUGGGUAGGGCUCAUCCUGGGAGAAGGUGGGGAGGAAGCUGUAGAUCUGGCCUUUUCAAUUUCUCACAUUCUGCCGGAGGCUUUCAAUCUCAUCAUAAUCUGGUCUUUUUCUAGCCAGGUGGAUCUGAAGCUGACGAAAUGCUUUCCCUUUAUCGCAUCUGCAAAACAAACACAAAACUAUUUGUAAAGCAAAUGUUUUCCCUCUGGAAGUAGAUAUUUUUAUACAACUUUCACUCAGAAUAUUUUUUUAAAAAAAAAUUUGCACAAGGGGCAGUCUAGGUUUUUAAUUUAAAUUGGAGGAGCAGAUUCCUUGCUGGCCUCAGAGAGAGGUGCUGCUCCUUCUCCUUCCUCCCUACCAAGAGUUUCCUGGGUCUCCCCCAAAGCCAGGAUGAAAGUCUUCUUCAGCUUGAUCAUCUUCUCUCUCAUGUUGGCUACAUGUCAAGGAGCGUGCUUGAGAAUUCCCUUUCAAGCUGAAUUUGAAAAUGGUAAACCAGUGCGGCCAAACACAUGCCUUGAUAGACUUGAUGGGAGAAAGCAUCUCAUUGGGUCCACUUGGAACACAGCUAAUUGUUUGAGAUGCAGCUGCAGCAAAUAUGGAUUGGGUUGCUGCCAAAGAUUUGUUGGUUGUUAGCGUUGUUGAAGGGUGCAAAACAGUGGCAAAUCACGUGACAUGUGAACAUGAAUUCUAUAGACUUGAUGACCCAACGCAGCGCUGUGAUGUCUGAUCUCUUCGCGUGGACGAACUAGAAUAAAUCUCUCAUGUGUAAAUGAACCUGAAUAAAUCUCUCAAAUCAGCAUCUAAAA